CAGCAGCCCGGUAAUACAGAGGGUGCGAGCGUUAAUCGGAUUUACUGGGCGUAAAGCGUGCGUAGGCGGCUUUUUAAGUCGGAUGUGAAAUCCCUGAGCUUAACUUAGGAAUUGCAUUCGAUACUGGGAAGCUAGAGUAUGGGAGAGGAUGGUAGAAUUCCAGGUGUAGCGGUGAAAUGCGUAGAGAUCUGGAGGAAUACCGAUGGCGAAGGCAGCCAUCUGGCCUAAUACUGACGCUGAGGUACGAAAGCAUGGGGAGCAAACAGGAUUAGAUACCCCCGUAGUCCCUGUCUCUUAUACC
rnacentral:rRNA from 1 species